rnacentral:lncRNA from 1 species
AAUUUUAGUGUUUGUAGUGGUUUUUAAUGUUUUGGCCUAUUUUAGGGUCGUUCUUUAGUUUUUGGCCAAUUUAAGUGUUUGUAGUCGUUUUUAUGGGUUAUGGCCAAUUUUAGUGUUCGUAGUCGUUUUUUUGAUUUUGGCCUAUUUUAGGUCGUUUAUAUGGUUUUUGGCCAAUUUUAGUGUUUGUAGUCGUUUUUUAUGGUUUUUGGUCUAUUUUAGGUCAUUUAUAUGAUUUUUGGCCAAUUUUGGUGUUUCUAGUUGUUUUUAUGGUUUUUGGCCUAUUUUAGGUCGUUUAUAUGGUUUUUGGCCAAUUUUUGUGUUUGUAGUCGUUUUUAUGGUUUUUGGCCAAUUUAAGUGUUUUUAGUCGUUUUUAUGUUUGUAGUGGUUUUUAAUGUUUUUGGCCUAUUUUAGGUCGUUUAUAUGGUUUUUGGCCAAUUUUAGUGUUUGUAGUCGUAUUUAUGCUUUUUGACCUAUUUUAGGUCGUUUAUAAGGUUUUUGGCCAAUUUUAGUGUUUGUAGUCAUUUUUAUGGUUUUUGGCCAAUUUUAGUGUUUGUAGUCGUUUUUAUGCUUUN